rnacentral:rRNA from 1 species
CAGCACCUCAAGUGGUCAGGAUGAUUAUUGGGCCUAAAGCAUCCGUAGCCGGCUCUGUAAGUUUUCGGUUAAAUCUGUACGCUCAACGUACAGGCUGCCGGGAAUACUGCAGAGCUAGGGAGUGGGAGAGGUAGACGGUACUCGGUAGGAAGGGGUAAAAUCCUUUGAUCUAUUGAUGACCACCUGUGGCGAAGGCGGUCUACCAGAACACGUCCGACGGUGAGGGAUGAAAGCUGGGGGAGCAAACCGGAUUAGAGACCCGAAUAGUCC